rfam:Prochlorococcus marinus str. NATL2A, complete genome.
AUUUAUCACUAGGGGUGCCAUAUUGCUUUGCGGUAUGGCUGAGAUCACACCCUCUGAACUUGAUCUGGUUUAAACCAGUGUAAGGAAAGUGAAAUCUUGUGAUC